rnacentral:rRNA from 1 species
GAUGAACGCUGGCGGCGUGCCUAAUACAUGCAAGUCGAACGCUGAAGGAAGGAGCUUGCUCUUUCCGGAUGAGUUGCGAACGGGUGAGUAACGCGUAGGUAACCUGCCUGGUAGCGGGGGAUAACUAUUGGAAACGAUAGCUAAUACCGCAUAACAGUAGAUGUUGCAUGAUAUCUACUUAAAAGGUGCAAUUGCACCACUACCAGGUGGACCUGCGUUGUAUUAGCUAGUUGGUGAGGUAACGGCUCACCAAGGCGACGAUACAUAGCCGACCUGAGAGGGUGAUCGGCCACACUGGGACUGAGACACGGCCCAGACGCCUACGGGAGGCAGCAGUAGGGAAUCUUCGGCAAUGGACGGAAGUCUGACCGAGCAACGCCGCGUGAGUGAAGAAGGGUUUCGGAUCGUAAAGCUCUGUUGUAAGAGAAGAACGAGUGUGAGAGUGGAAAGUUCACACUGUGACGGUAGCUUACCAGAAAGGGACGGCUAACUACGUG